rnacentral:lncRNA from 1 species
CAAUUGCUUGUGCAUCACUUGUUAUACAUAUGUAUGUGUGUGUGCAUUUACGUAUAUACAUAUUUGUAUAUAUAACUGUCAUAACUAUUAUCCUUUUUUCCUCUUCCUUUUCUCUACCUUACUAAAGAUUUCUUACCUCGAUCCACGAGUUCUACUUUUUUCCUGAUUCUCUCCCCCCAUCCCACUGGGAAGGAGGGCAGUGAGCAAAUGACUGUAUGGUUCUUAGCUACCUGCCGGGCUAAACCACAGCAGAAGUGCUGGUAUUUUUAUGUUUGAAUCUAUUAUAAAUACCAGCAUUCCUUUCAGAAAAAGGAUUAGAAAAACAAAACUGGAAAAGGAGGCUGUGUUCUGAACUAGCUCAAGAUGAAAACUUCUUUUGAAUACUCUUGUUUUGUGGAAAUGCAUUUUUCUGUCCAAAAAUGCAUUAUUUCUGUAGGAGAAUCCCAACUACCUCACCUCCACUGUCUGAAACUGAAGGUGUGGGUACAGACAGCUGAGUGGAGGAAGGUGAGUGAGAGUGAUGUCGCCUCCCCAGCUGUGAGCAGGCCGGCAGAGCCUCCUACGCCGAGACAGCUGCUGUAUGGGGCCGCAGCUCUGGCAGAAUGGGGUCAGUGGGUGGAGAGGCUGCCGGCUGCCAGGGGGAGGCUUUAGAGAGACCAGCUGAAAGAAGCUGUGGAGGGAGCAAUAUGGAGUGGAGCCUGUCAAGUAAGGGAGUAGGAAGUGACUGCAGGGAGCAAGGGACAGAAAAGCUCUCAGUUGCUUAGCGUGUGGUCAUUAAAUAUGGAGGAAAGAUUUCCUGGCCUUCUGCCUUGUAAAAAGAAAUAAUAAUAAUAAAGAGAAUUUUCCUUGGGGGAGAAGAAGCAAAGAAUUAAUUAAGCCCAGACUUGAGAUGGUCUCCAGUGUCUCAUUCAGUGGCAUUCCACUCUAUUAAUUUUGCCCUCCACUGACACUUAAAUACCAUGCCAGCUUUUAUCCCAGAUUGAUUUCUUUCAUCCCAAUGUAAGGCAUGGAGUGGAAACAUCUGACAUAUUGUGGCAGCGGAGAAUGAGAGUCCAUCUAUUUGCUGGUGCGUUUGACUUGGAAUUUGGAGCACAGUGGUGGGAGCUUGAGCCAGGCAGGAGCCAGCUCCUUGUGAUGGCAGUCACACCUGCAUUUGGACUGCGCAAGUCCAAAGGAACGUUUGAUUCAUUCUGCACAAGAGGAGGUGAGCCCUGAUUUACCUCAGCUCUGUAGUGUGAACAUUGCCUAAGAUCCACCCAAAACACCUACACAGCUACUUCCAAGAAGCCUUUGGAAAUCCCUUGUGUAGUCAGGGUUUUGCUACCAGUCCAGCAAUUUGAGAUCCACUUCUGCUGAUCUGUAGGAGAGAGGCGCCAGGAGGUUUCGGUUUCAAACUCAGCUAUCCUCCAGCUCCCCUCAGCUGUGGGGACAGAACUUCAAAGGAAACCCAGCCCCUGCCCUGAGUUGGGACUCUGGUGAUAGUUCAUCGCUUUCAGUCUGAGUAUGUAGAUGGGGUUAAAGUAAUCCCUGUUCUAACUGCUCACCUAUCUCAUUUUUCAGCACUGUGCCCUCUGGGAAGUGUGACUGGCUGAAAGAAAUGCUCUUGGAAGCUUAGCGUUGUGACAGACAAGAAAUUGGAUGAGAAAACAGAAACAGCUUAGAGGGUAGGAAUGUGGAUUUGACAACAGCAUACGGCAAAAAUGAUCUAGUUCCAGCGAUAAAUGCCUAUCUUAUAUCUGAGAUAAACUGAGGUUUCCAUGUUUCCCAGAUUUUUCUGGCACUUAAGUGCACCACGAGGCCACGUGGUGAGAAUUAGCUCAGUGCCUUGAAAGUUGCUGGGUUACACCGACUGCUACACGGCCCUUUAUGCGCGUAAAAUGUAUCAGACAGCUCGUGGUGUUGGCAGUAGUUGUAUGGAGAAGUGGAUUUUAAUGAAGUGCAGUUCUCUUACCCCACUGGAACUUCAGCAAGCACAAGCUGGAUGAUAGCAUCCUGUCAAGAUAAUGCUGACAACGUCGUUACCAAGAGGAAAGAUUUAUUUUGCAUCUAUGCAUUUUGUAGCAAAAUUACACUUUAAAAAGACUUGUCAUGUUUCUUUUCUCUUAUUUACAUUUUUCUGAGAGUAUUUUCACUAGGAAGUAAAAUGAAAGGGCAGUUGCUGACCGCACUUCAAGGUGAGAUUCCUUUCACCUAACCAGGUUUCUAUGGUGCAGAUGUUUGCAGCUGCAAUGGACACCCCAAAUUCCCUGUAGAGGGAGAAACAGGCACUUGAAGGGCUCAGAUAUUUUAACCUAUUGCAGAUACCGAC